GUCAAUUUCCAGAGCUUUGAAGGAAGUUUUUUGGGCAGUGUGAGUGAGCCGAACAUAGAUAAUUCACAUUUACUAUUCUUGCACUUUCCCAUCUAUAUUGUUUACUCUUUCUUGGUGUAUGCUAGUAUUUAUGUCCAUAUUUAUUUUCUUACUGGAAACUUCAUCUGUCAUAACAGGAUUGGCAUUUUUUUUUUUUUUUUUUUUUUGGGCGUUCUCUGGAAUUCCGGAGGAGUCGAACCCGUGUGCCUUGGGAUCCAGUUCACUCUAGUGUUUUACCACUAGGCUAUUCUG
rnacentral:lncRNA from 1 species